AUGAACGCUGGCGGCGUGCCUCAUACCUGCAAGUCGCGCGAACAGACGAGGAGCUUGCUCCUCUGACGUUAGCGGCGGACGGGUGAGUAACACGUGGAUAACCUACCUAUAAGACUGGGAUAACUUCGGGAAACCGGAGCUAAUACCGGAUAACAUGUUGAACCGCAUGGUUCAACAGUGAAAGACGGUCUUGCUGUCACUUAUAGAUGGAUCCGCGCCGCAUUAGCUAGUUGGUAAGGUAACGGCUUACCAAGGCAACGAUGCGUAGCCGACCUGAGAGGGUGAUCGGCCACACUGGAACUGAGACACGGUCCAGACUCCUACGGGAGGCAGCAGUAGGGAAUCUUCCGCAAUGGGCGAAAGCCUGACGGAGCAACGCCGCGUGAGUGAAGAAGGUCUUCGGAUCGUAAAACUCUGUUAUUAGGGAAGAACAAAUGUGUAAGUAACUAUGCACGUCUUGACGGUACCUAAUCAGAAAGCCACGGCUAACUACGUG
rnacentral:rRNA from 1 species